rnacentral:RNase_P_RNA from 1 species
GGCGUAGGUAACUAUAGGGAAAGUGCAACAGAAACAUUCCGCCGAAACAGUACGGCUGUGGUAAGGUUGAAAUGGUGAGGUAAGAGCUCACCGGCAGCAUGGAGACAUGCUGGCCGUGUAAACCCCACCCGGAGCAAGGCCAAAUAGGGCAUGAAAGGUGGCUGCCCGUCACCUGCCCGGAAGGUAGGCCGCUUGAGCCUGUCAGCGAUGGCAGGUCGAGAUAGAUGAUUGUCGAAUACAGAACCCGGCUUACAGCUCUGCCCAUUUU